ensembl:processed_transcript
AUUGGGAACCUGGGCUUGCUCAUAGUGAGCAACAAGUUCUGUAGGAAGCAACGUGGCUUAAACAGCAGGAUCUACACAGAGUCCUGCCCAAGGUUUCUCCUGGCCCUUUCUUCUCCUCUGAUGGCUCCAUCUCUUUAUUCCCUCAGGAACGGACACCAUGGCCUCCAUAGGUCAGACCCGCAACUUCCUGAGCCGGGCCUCUUGCCGCCUUCGUUUGGAGCCUAACAAAGAGUACUUGAUCAUGGGGAUGGACGGGGAAACCAGUGACAACAAGGGAGACCCCCAGUACUUGCUGGACUCAAAUACCUGGAUUGAGGAGAUGCCUUCGGAACAAAUGUGCAAGAGCACCCGCCAUCGGGCAGCCUGUUUCCAGCUCAAAGACUUCCUGAUGGAGUUCAGCAGCCGGGGGUGCCAGGUGUGAGGCCUUAGGACUCUGGCUCUCUGAGCUCAGCUCAGGGUCAGGGCCUCGCUGGAUGAGGGGCUCUGCUCUACAGGGUAAAUAAAAGAAAAGCUUUUUGACAGCCAA